AUCACAGUCUCAAGCUCUCUCAAAGUCUCACCAUCGCGAUUCUCUCUGAAUCUCGCCAUCGUCUUCUCCGUAGUCUCGCUGUCGUCUUCUCCGUCUCAAAUCGUCUUCUUGUAUCGUCGUUAUCAACCCAACCACUAUCGUCUUCUCCGUCUCAAAUCGUCUUCUUGUAUCGUCGUUUUCAACCCAACCACUACCGUCUUCUCCGUAAUCUCGCCGUCGUGUUCUCAACUCAACCACUAUCGUCGUUCGUGAAUGUCGUCAUCGUCUCCUCCGUAAUUCUCUCUCUGCAUUGUUCGACUACAUAGAUUAUCCCAAGCUCUCCAGGGAAAAUCUUUAAUGAAGCAAGAUGCAAAUAUUUCCGAGCAUGAUUGAGAAUGGCUACGAAGAUACAUUUUAGUGGAUAUAUGGACCUAGUUUGAAUCUCUAAAUUCAUUGAUGAAUAGUUUUCAAGGAAGGAAGAGUUUGUUAGAUUUGGCAGAGAGAAUGAAAGUGUGUUUUUCUACUGUUGUUGGUUCUUCUAUAGCAAGUUGUUGGAAUGUGUUAACAUCAAAUUCUGAUGAUGUAAGAGUCAUGACUAGAACAAGUAUUGCUGCACCUGGAACACUUCCUAGUAUAGUUGUUAGUGCUGGAACUUCUCUUUGGCUUCCAGUUCUUCCAAGGAGGCUUUUCAAUGGAAAGAAGUUGGACAUAACAAUGUGUUUUAAUAUUUAGAUUUAAUAGACAACUAUACACACUUUCCUUAAGUUUAUGUUUGUAAAUAUAUUCUAAACUGCAUGGAAUUAGUCUUGGUGAAAGGAAAUACAGAUUGAUGAAUUAUUUGAAA